GCCGAAGCACCCAGGGAAUGAUGUUUGGGAUGUGGCGAUGGAAAGGAGGGACAAGAAGCUCUUGGAGCAGCAUUCAGCUUCUAGCAAGUAGGAUGUGAAUACCAAGAACUGGGUUAUGUUGGACACUAGGAAACCAUAAGAGACUACUUUGUUUUAAGGUCUUGUAAAUAACCUUACCUUAUCCAUGUUUCCUUUGGUGAUUUUAGGGGAAUUUAAUUUGGGAGUUUUGUAUGGUAAUUACUGUAAAUGACGUUUGGUUUUUUGGUUGGUUUUCCUUGAUGAGAAUUUCGCUCCAGUAAUGGAGGAAACAAGAAGGAAACGGUUUGUUGUUCUGCGGUGGUGUGUUAUAUUGAUAUUAAAUUACCUUGGAACUUGGAUGGUUUAUUUUUUUA